UGCAGCCCCAAGGCUGACAGAGGUAAUGCAAAAGACCUGGAAGUCAAAUAAAAAGCAGAAGUGACUGGCAGGAACAGAAGCCGGGUGACCAAGCAGUAACAGCUCCAGGCUCUAGAACCACUUGGGAUGCAGGGGGUGGAUGGAAGAAAUGUCUGAUGGGUACAGCUGUUAUCCAAGGACAGAGAUCACUCGUGUAUGAGAAAGAGCGCAAUUGCUUAUUGAUGUAAUGGAAGCCAAUGAAGAUAAUGUAGAAGGCAGGUAAAUGAUAGCAUCUUUCCAAAAGAUAUGCAGAAUCUCUCCUGCUUCUUCUGAGGUACUUGCAAAUCUUGCCAUUUACUUGCCCUAAGGUGAGUCUGACAACGCACUACUAGAGUGAAAGUUCGGAAUAUGAGUAAUUAAGGAAGUCCUUAUCGCUGUUCUCAUUUUAUCUGGUGUUUGUUUCUUUUCCACAAAGAUGACAAGAGCUCUGAAUGCUGAUAAAACAAGAUAUCUUGUUCUGGGACUACGCUCAGCCUGAGCUUCUCACUUAUCUUGCAGGCACUCAGUCUUCAAAAACCAGGAAUAUACUUCUUUGGGAGAUAAAGUUACAACAGAAUUUUGAAUAAACUGAACCUGGAAACGCUUCUGGUUCAGCUAACAGAAUGACGUGGUGGCCUUGGAAAAUGACACACUGCAGGCUAACACUGGGGGAAAUGAAGAUGCAGAGUUAGAAGAGUUUCAAACAUGUGGGAAAAUGAUGGAGAAAAACUUUGACAUGCUUACUCAUCUCCUUCAAAUCUUCAUGCUGGACAAGAGAGAUGUAUACGAGCUGGAAAGAAAGGUAC